ACGAAGGUCCCAAGCGUUGUUCGGAAUCACUGGGCGUAAAGCGUGUGUAGGCUGCGCGGAAAGUCAAAUGUGAAAGCCCGGGGCUCAACCUCGGAACUGCAUUCGAUACUCCCGUGCUAGAGUAAUGGAGAGGUAAGUGGAAUUCCUGGUGUAGCAGUGAAAUGCGUGGAUAUCAGGAGGAACAUCAAUGGCGAAGGCAACUUACUGGACAUUUACUGACGCUCAGACACGAAGGCUAGGGUAGCGAAAGGG
rnacentral:rRNA from 1 species